rnacentral:rRNA from 1 species
UGGGGAAUUUUGGACAAUGGGCGAAAGCCUGAUCCAGCAAUGCCGCGUGCAGGAUGAAGGCCUUCGGGUUGUAAACUGCUUUUGUACGGAACGAAACGGUCGCCUCUAAUAAAGGUGGCUAAUGACGGUACCGUAAGAAUAAGCACCGGCUAACUACGUGCCAGCAGCCGCGGUAAUACGUAGGGUGCGAGCGUUAAUCGGAAUUACUGGGCGUAAAGCGUGCGCAGGCGGUUAUAUAAGACAGAUGUGAAAUCCCCGGGCUCAACCUGGGACCUGCAUUUGUGACUGUAUAGCUAGAGUACGGUAGAGGGGGAUGGAAUUCCGCGUGUAGCAGUGAAAUGCGUAGAUAUGCGGAGGAACACCGAUGGCGAAGGCAAUCCCCUGGACCUGUACUGACGCUCAUGCACGAAAGCGUGGGGAGCAAACA